rnacentral:miRNA from 1 species
GUGUGUGAGUGUGUGUGUGUGUGUAUGUGUGUCUCACACACAUACACACACACACACACACACAC